AUUACAGAGAAUAGAUGGGACACCUCUUAACCCCCACCACAAUUGAUGUUUUUAGUGAGGAUCGCAACCGCUUGGUGGCGCUACAUUCGCAGUUAGUUUAUUGUUCAGCCGCUAGGCCCGCUAGGUGCGAUUCAAGCAUGGCUUCAGUGACAAUAAAGUUCAGAAUUUGAGAGGUUAAGUUCGUUCUUUUCUGUUAAAAAAUGUUGUAUUAUUAGUGGACGUUGAAGGUAUUAGUGAUUUGUAAGCUAAUUUAUACCUUUUAAAAAUGAUAAAAAUGAACAAUUGUUGUGUACCUGGAUGUAUGGACCGAGUAAGCCAGACAUCGUUUCCCCAAAGCCAAUCCAAGUAUUUUUAAAACUUGGUUAGAAGUUAUUAAUCCACAAAAUUGGCAAGAAUUAUCCGAUGAACAGAUUUACAAUAGAUAUUACGUGUGUCAUCCACAUUUUACCAAGCUGGACAUACAAGAACCACAAUCUGACUCGAUGAUGAAUAAGAAAAAAAUUCAAAAAGGGGUUAGAAAGUCAAUUUUGACGAGGUUGCAGUACACUAGGAUUUCACAACUAACUGCAAAAGAAAAAGUAAUGUACUCAAUGUUGAAAGAGUGCAAUGCAAGGAUGAGUCAGCUUAAAUACCAAAAUAAAUGUCUGAGGUAACAAUUAGCUUAUGCAAAAAAAAUUAUUUCAUCUCGUGGAUUUCAAACGCUUUCUUAGCAUAUCUCUGGACCAACUUAUAAUUUCAUCUUAUGUCAAUUGAGGAAUCAGACAGUCAAGGUAAACAUAAAAAGAUAAUUAUUAUUCAUUUAUAAAUAUUGAUGGUUUCACUUUGUGGGAAAACAAUAUUUGUUUAUUCAUAUACCUGCAAUGUAUACCGAUUGUAUAUUUUUCUUAUAAAUAUUAUUCUGAAUUCGUUGAAAGUACGUAAGUAGAUGUCUGUCUACUUGAAAAAACCUGUACAUAUAUUUUAAAUAUUAUUCUGAAUUUUUAAUGCGAGUAAUUUCACUUAAAUUCUUUGAAAGUUCAUAAUUGUUCAUUCAUAUUGAUGGUUUCACUUAGUGGGAAAACAAUGUUUGUUUAUUUAUAUACCUGAUAAUGUUCGAUGUAUAACAAUUUUAUAUAUUUCUUGUAAAUAUUAUUCUGAAUUUGUUGAAAGUACAUAAUAUUUUCACUUUGUGGGAAAUGUUUGUUUAAUUGAAAUUUCACGAAUAUGUAAGUAAUUAUUAUUAUGUAAAUAAACAUUAUUAUUAUAAUUAUUAA